rnacentral:rRNA from 39 species
AUCUCUUGGUUCCAGCAUCGAUGAAGAACGCAGCGAAAUGCGAUAAGUAAUGUGAAUUGCAGAAUUCAGUGAAUCAUCGAAUCUUUGAACGCACAUUGCGCCCCUCGGUAUUCCGGGGGGCAUGCCUGUUCGAGCGUCAUU